AUGGAGCACCUCAGACCGCUAGCUGCCCUGUGCAUCCUGGCCGGCAUCGUCGCCGCGGCGGCGGCCACGGAGAUGGUGGAGAUCGAGGUGGUGGAGGUGGAGGCACGGUCCUCCUACAUCGUGCACGUCGUGCCGGCGCACGCGCCACGGCUGCCGCGCCGCGGCCUGCUGGCCAGCCGGGCGUACGGCUGCUUCUUGCGCGAGCACAUCCCCACCAAGCUCUCCAGUCCGGCACCGACGGUGCUCUACUCCUACUCGCACGCCGCCACGGGCUUCGCGGCGCGCCUCACGUGGCGCCAGGCCGCCCACCUCGCGUCCUCGGCCUCCGUGCUCGCCGUCGUGCCCGACACCAUGCUGGAGCUGCACACCACCCUCACGCCGUCAUUCCUCGGCCUCUCCCCAUCCUCCGGGCUGCUCCCCGCGUCCAACGGCGCCUCCGACGUCGUCAUCGGGGUCAUCGACACCGGCGUCUACCCGGAGGGCCGCGCGUCCUUCGCCGCCCACCCGUCGCUCCCGCCGCUGCCACCCGGCAGGUUCCGUGGCGGGUGCGUCUCGGGGCCGUCGUUCAACGCCUCCACGCUCUGCAACAACAAGCUCGUCGGCGCCAAGUUCUUCCACAAGGGGCACGAGGCUGCACGCGGCAGUGCGCUCGGCGAGGACUCGGAGUCGCCGCUUGACACCAGCGGCCAUGGCACUCACACCGCGUCCACGGCCGCCGGCUCUGCUGCUGCCGACGCAGGCUUCUACGGCUAUGGUAGAGGAAAAGCUGUCGGCAUGGCCCCGGGCGCGCGCAUUGCCGUCUAUAAGGCGUGUUGGGAGGAAGGGUGCCCGAGCUCUGACACCCUCGCCGCGUUUGAUGAGGCCAUCGCGGACGGCGUCGACGUUAUCUCUGCGUCGCUCAGCGCCGGCGGCAAGGCCCCAGACUUCCACGCCGAUAUCAUCGCCGUGGGCGCGUUCCGGGCCGUCAGCAAAGGCAUCCUCGUCUCCGCCUCUGCGGGCAACUCCGGCCCCGGAGAGUACACAGCCGCCAACAUAGCGCCAUGGUUCUUGACCGUGGGCGCGUCCACCCUCAACCGCCAGUUCCGGGCCGACGCCGUUCUCGGCAACGGCGAGACCUUCACUGGUACCUCUCUGUACGCUGGUGAGCCGCUCGGGGCGACCAAGAUGCCACUGGUCUAUGGAGGGGAUGUGGGCUCAAAAAUAUGCGAAGAUGGGAAGCUGAACGCCACCAUGGUAGCCGGGAAGAUCGUUCUGUGUGACCCCGGCAUGUUCGCCCGGGCUGUGAAAGAGCAAUCUGUUAAGCUCGCUGGUGGUGCCGGAGCAAUCUUCGGGAGCAUCGAGUCAUACGGCGAGCAGGUCAUGAUCAGCGCCAAUGUCAUCCCCGCCACGGUCGUCCCAUUCGCCGCCUCCGAGAAGAUCAAGAAGUACAUCAGUGCGGAAACAACCCCUACCGUGACCAUCGUGUUCCGCGGCACGGUCGUUAGCCGCCGGACACCGCCGUCCCCUAGGAUGGCGUCCUUCUCGAGCCGUGGGCCAAACUUCCGUGCGCCGGAGAUCCUGAAGCCGGACGUGACCGCGCCCGGCGUGGACAUCCUCGCCGCAUGGACGGGCGCUAGCUCGCCCACGGGACUCGCCAGCGACACGAGGCGAGCGCAGUACAACAUCGUAUCGGGCACGUCCAUGUCUUGCCCGCACGUGAGCGGCGUCUCGGCGCUGCUCCGGCAAGCGAGGCCAGAGUGGAGCCCCGCCGUGAUCAAGUCGGCCCUGAUGACGACCGCGUACAAUGUGGACAGCGCUGGCGGCGUGAUCGGCGACAUGUCCACUGGGGGCGCGUCCACGCCGUUCGCGCGCGGGUCCGGUCACAUCAACCCCAACCGCGCCGCGGACCCGGGCCUUGUGUACGACGCCGGCACGGAGGACUACAUCGACUUCCUAUGCGCGCUCGGCUACACCGCCGAGCAGGUGGCCGUGUUCGGCUCGUCCGCCAACUGCUCGGCCCGCGCGGGCUCCUCCGUCGGCGACCACAACUAUCCGGCCUUUUCGGUGGUGUUCACCACGAGCGAAACGGCAGCCGUCCGGCAGAGCCGCGUCGUGCGCAACGUUGGCGGCGAUGCCCGGGUUACGUACAGGGCCAAGGUCUCUGCCCCGGACGGCGUGCGCGUCACGGUGACCCCUCGGACGCUGCGGUUCAGCGCGAGACGGAGAACACAGAAGUACGUGGUCACCUUUGCGCAGCGGACCUUGGGGAGGGUCACCAAGAAUCACACGUUCGGGUCCAUCGACUGGAGCGACCGCAAGCACUUGGUGACCAGCCCCAUCGCCAUCACCUGGCCGGCGAGCCAGGUUACGGUUGCGGUUGCGGAGAUGUGA
rnacentral:rRNA from 1 species